AUUUCAGUUACUUUCCAUUGGAGCAAUCACACGGUAGGAAAAUCGAUCCGAGUGUUUGCAAGAGAAUUAUAAUCAAUUUGAGAUUAGGAAAGAGAUCUAAAAGAUCUUCUUCACUCAACUCUUCUAUUUUCCGAUCCGAAGUUAAGAAGAAAGGAAUGAAGAAAAAAAUUGAAACAGCGGAUUGGAUAUAGGUUCAGGUUUGUUUAUUUAAACUGAUGCUGUUUGUUUUUGCCUGGCUAAUUUUUAAUUUUAAGUUCACCUUGUUUUUGUUUUAGGAACUAUUCAGAGCAGAUAUUGCAGUCUUCAUUGCUCAAAUAAGAACAUAUGUGGAAACACAAGGUGGUUUUAUAAGAUUCUUUUGGCAUAGAAGUAGACGAUGGUGCAUUUACAGAUGUUGAAGACGUUAUACUGCGAUGAGUUAUC